UGUUAGUUUACAGUUUAGUUAGCAGUAGUUUGUUAGGCCGAUUUCUGUGUCUCGUGAUCUGUUUUUAUAGUUUGAUCUCAGCAACUGAAUGUUAAUUGCAUAACCUAUUUGUCAUCUUAACUAAGUUUUAGUGGCUAAUAGGUUAAUUGCCAAUUUUUGUUCUAGUGGAAGAAGAAGAGCAGCUAAGUUUGAUGUUGUAGUUGUUGGAUUUUUGCUUAGAAUUGUGAUUCAGCUUUUGGAUUUUUGGUUAUAGACUCUGCAAGCCUUUUGUUAUUCUGCUGCUCAUUGAGAAAGGCACUUUGAACCUGUCAAUUGAGUUCAGUAACUAGUUACUACCUUUUGUGGCGUUUGCACUACGUGACAUGCAACUGGCAAGCACGAUUCUUCGAAGGUUUUUAUCGGUUAAUUUUGGCAUUGGUUAUUUACGUUACAGUGUCGACAUCAAUCAUUCCGUGUCUAGAAAUAUUAUUCUUGAGAGAAAGCAAAUGAGUAUGAUUAUACUUUAUAAAAACUGGUCUGGAUAACAAUAGAUACAGGUACAUAUGAUAUCACCGAUUUAACAUAUACAACAAACUAGUUACAAGAAAGGUACAACAAUUUCUAAGGUAGCUAAGCAUUAUGAAAUUGCGAGGGUGGUUACCGGCUUGUCACGGUCUGCUUGGUGCGUCGUCGGCUCCGUCUCUGCCUUAGACGAUUAUUCCAAUCUUUCACAUAUAACUUCGGGAACAUCCAUAGGAUUAGAGAGUCGAUCUUUGGCCAGUACCAAAAUCGGAAACCUGACCAUAACGCGGCUGGCAACAUGACAGCACCUAAGCCAAAAACGUAUCCGAAUGCUUUACUUAGAAAGUCCCAGUUGGUCGAUUUUUCAUGUCUGCCAUUGAAGUCACACCAAACAUUUGGAGAAGAGCAUGAUCUAGUUAAAGGUUUCCCACACAAAUUCGGGUUACCUCCAUACGAAGUGUUCUCAAAUGUUU
rnacentral:lncRNA from 1 species